GGAAUCUUCCACAAUGGACGAAAGUCUGAUGGAGCAACGCCGCGUGAGUGAAGAAGGGUUUCGGCUCGUAAAACUCUGUUGUUAAAGAAGAACAUAUCUGAGAGUAACUGUUCAGGUAUUGACGGUAUUUAACCAGAAAGCCACGGCUAAAUACGUGCCCG
rnacentral:rRNA from 1 species